rnacentral:rRNA from 1 species
AGAGUUCGAUCCUGGCUCAGGAUGAACGCUGGCGGCGCGCCUAACACAUGCAAGUCGAACGGCACCCCUCUCCGGAGGGAAGCGAGUGGCGAACGGCUGAGUAACACGUGGAGAACCUGCCCCCUCCCCCGGGAUAGCCGCCCGAAAGGACGGGUAAUACCGGAUACCCCGGGGUGCCGCAUGGCGCCCCGGCUAAAGCCCCGACGGGAGGGGAUGGCUCCGCGGCCCAUCAGGUAGACGGCGGGGUGACGGCCCACCGUGCCGACAACGGGUAGCCGGGUUGAGAGACCGACCGGCCAGAUUGGGACUGAGACACGGCCCAGACUCCUACGGGAGGCAGCAGUGGGGAAUCUUGCGCAAUGGGGGGAACCCUGACGCAGCGACGCCGCGUGCGGGACGGAGGCCUUCGGGUCGUAAACCGCUUUCAGCAGGGAAGAGUCAAGACUGUACCUGCAGAAGAAGCCCCGGCUAACUACGUGCCAGCAGCCGCGGUAAUACGUAGGGGGCGAGCGUUAUCCGGAUUCAUUGGGCGUAAAGCGCGCGUAGGCGGCCCGGCAGGCCGGGGGUCGAAGCGGGGGGCUCAACCCCCCGAAGCCCCCGGAACCUCCGCGGCUUGGGUCCGGUAGGGGAGGGUGGAACACCCGGUGUAGCGGUGGAAUGCGCAGAUAUCGGGUGGAACACCGGUGGCGAAGGCGGCCCUCUGGGCCGAGACCGACGCUGAGGCGCGAAAGCUGGGGGAGCGAACAGGAUUAGAUACCCUGGUAGUCCCAGCCGUAAACGAUGGACGCUAGGUGUGGGGGGACGAUCCCCCCGUGCCGCAGCCAACGCAUUAAGCGUCCCGCCUGGGGAGUACGGCCGCAAGGCUAAAACUCAAAGGAAUUGACGGGGGCCCGCACAAGCAGCGGAGCAUGUGGCUUAAUUUCGAAGCAACGCGAAGAACCUUACCAGGGCUUGACAUAUGGGUGAGCGGGGGAGACCCCCGUGACGAGAGAGCCAUACAGUGUGCAUGCUGUCGUCAGCUCGUGUCGUGAGAUGGUGGGUAAGUCCGCACGAGCGCAACCCCGCCGGUGUGCAUCGGUGAUGCCGACCGCGAACGCGCGUCAGCCGAAGAGGGCGGGGAACGAACG